UACGUAGGGUCCAAGCGUUAAUCGGAAUUACUGGGCGUAAAGAGUGCGCAGGCGGUUCUAUAAGCUUGAUGUGAAAUCCCCGGGCUUAACCUGGGAACUGCAUUGAGGACUGUAAAACUAGAGUGUAGCAGAGGGGGGUAGAAUUCCACGUGUAGCAGUGAAAUGCGUAGAGAUGUGGAGGAAUACCGAUGGCGAAGGCAGCCCCCUGGGUUAACACUGACGCUCAUGCACGAAAGCGUGGGGAGCAAACAGG
rnacentral:rRNA from 1 species